rnacentral:rRNA from 1 species
CACGUAGGGGGCGAGCGUUGUCCGGAAUCAUUGGGCGUAAAGAGCUCGUAGGCGGCUCAGUAAGUCGGGUGUGAAACCCCCAGGCUCAACCUGGGGACGCCACCCGAUACUGCUGUGGCUAGAGUCCAGUAGGGGAGUGUGGAAUUCCCGGUGUAGCGGUGAAAUGCGCAGAUAUCGGGAGGAACACCAGCGGCGAAGGCGGCACUCUGGGCUGGAACUGACGCUGAGGAGCUAAAGCGUGGGUAGCAAACAGG